rnacentral:rRNA from 1 species
AUGCGCCCUUUGCUGACCACGGCGGAGACGGACGCUAGGCACCUCCGGCCCAAAAAUGCGAAGGCGCUCCGGCUCGGACUCGAAGCUUCGGAGCGCCUUGCGAGGGAGAAAGAGACCGCCAUGGCCAAGGCGGCCCGCCACGCGAAGGAGCAGGCCCGCGCCAUCAGCCGCCUCUCCAGCUACAUCUCGUCGGCGUCGGAGAGCGGCACCACCAACAUGGACGACGACGAUGAUCCUCCCGCUGCAGACGCGUACACGAAGGAGAUGGACCGCCGCGCCGGUGACCGCAAGGGCAAGGGCCCGAAAUGGUGA